AGAUACUCUAUCCUAAUGUGUAUCAUAUACUUGAAUGUCACACAAAUGUGAAACAACUAAACACAGAGACAAGGCUUAAACAGAUACCCAAAUAUACACGCAGAUAUAAGUAUCAUAGGCUUAAUGUAUUUGAUAAGCCAAAACAUAGAUACAUAGACAAGAUACACACAUGCUAAUUUGUAUUAUAGUUCAAUAUUAGAGAUACAAUAUAAUACACUGAUACAGAGAGAGAGGCAACUUUUAUGAGGCUCUUGCCUCUUAGUGAGUGUGAUACACUGUAUUAUGAAUAUAAAGUAGCGGUAUGUAAUGUACAUAUUGAAAGUGCCGUUGCAUAUGAUAAUUCAGGGAUUAUGUCUCAAUUAUAUGGCCCACUUUUGUUUUUAGUCAGUUCUAAAAAGAAUGAGAUAUUUCUAUAUUUACUAAUAAUUUAAACUUUAAAAUGUAAGGUUUAUAGUUCCACAAACUUAAGAUUUAAUUUAGAUCACAAAUUUUAAAGUAUUUCUCUAUUUUCUAAACUCCGUAUUCAAUCAAAGCUAAUUAAUUACGGAGUCAAUUUGCAGCAGGUGCUGGAAUCCAGGGUCCCUUUAUUCAAUAAAAGAAUACAGUAUACAAAUGGUGGAAUGGUAAAUGUUGCUCUAAGCUCAGACCUUUGUUUAUUUCUUUACCUGCUUUUAUUUUGUGACAGAUUUAGAAGAGGAGAAACACAAUCAAAUAUGGUGGUUGAAUAUCAUUUAAUAUCAUGAAUAGGAAUAUUUAUCUUUUUGCUAAAGUCAGGUAUCCAUGGUUGAAAAACCUUCCUAAUAAUUGGCCAAUGAUGGUGAUGAUGCUGGAAGCCUACAAACCGCUUAUACAGACAAUUAUGGUGAAUUGGAGAGCUCUUGAUAAUGGUUUUUUAAGAGUAAUUCUGAUGGGGCUUCUAAAGGAUAUCAAUGUAAAGAAUUUACAUCUUUACAGGAUAUUACAAAGGAGGCAAAGGCAAUUCUUGAGUUAGAAAAACAACACAAGCCAACAAUUAAAGUGAUUAAGGGCCAAAACAAGAACUUUCACAUAUGAAGUCAAUCAAGGAAAAGGAAAAGUAGAAUCAAGGGAUCAAAGAGCAACAUAUUUACAAGAGUAUCAGUGAUAAAUGCACGUUCACACAAAAGACACCACCAAAACCGACUUAAAUCAAGACAUCAAGUUUUGAUUUCAUCAACAACACAUGCAAAAUAAUUCAUUAAUAUGAAUCAGUCAAGGUUAACAAGUUACCUCUCUUUUUGUGACUCAAAUCAGCUAACUAGUACCUUUAGUCCGUGGUAUCAGCUCCUUAUUGAGCUCAAUCUGGCAAAUGAGGGUUACUUGAUUUGGAUUCAAAAGGAGGGAUGCAAAUGAAGAUUAGGUGGAUAGUCUCGUACCUGAGGAAUAUCAAUCAGAUGUAGUCUAAGAAGAGUUGAAGAAGUCUUCCUAUGAAGUGAUUUCAUGGCAUUUGUGAAAUGAUGUAAAUGCCCGAGAUGAAAUCGCCCAUGACUCACCUACUGACUAAUGUGAAAUGAGGUUUCUAAGUUGGAGAUACCUUCACCGGACCGGUCAAUGGAGCAUUCAUCAGCCAUGGUUGAUUUGUGAAGAAGAAGACGGAAAGCAAGGUGUUCUGGAUGCUUCCAUUGACUUUUUUAAUUUGGUCUUUUUGAUUUUAUUAUUUUUGUGUUUAUUUGUCAUUUUAAGUUUCCUUUUACUUUCCAAGUUUGAAUUGGGCCAUCAAAAUUGGAUUUGGUUAUUUGUAUAGCUAUUUCAAUUUUAUUAAUAGAAGCCUCUCUAUGCCCA